rnacentral:rRNA from 1 species
UACGUAGGGAGCAAGCGUUGUCCGGAAUCAUUGGGCGUAAAGCGCGCGUAGGCGGCCCUGUAAGUCCGUUGUGAAAGUCAAAGGCUCAACCUUUGAAAGCCGAUGGAUACUGCAGGGCUAGAGUCCGGAAGAGGCGAGUGGAAUUCCUGGUGUAGCGGUGGAAUGCGCAGAUAUCAGGAGGAACACCAAUAGCGAAGGCAGCUCGCUGGGACGGUACUGACGCUAAGGCGGCGAAAGCGUGGGGAGCGAACAGG